UCCCCGGGGCCGGAGCGCCCCGGCAGUCCUGCGGUGCAAUCCCCGCUCCUGCCCCGGGCCCCGGCAAACAGGUGGGCGAAGUCCCAAACCGCGCUGAAACCGCGCUUAUAACCGCGCCCGGCUUCCUUCGGGCUACCUUUUUCCCCCUCUUACCCCACACCUGAAGCUGCCCCCGAGCACACCGGGAGCAAAGUAUCCCGGUUUGGGGCUUUUGGCGGGGACUUCACGGCUUUGCGAUGGCUCAGCAUCCCGCCGGAGCUCGCGCUGGCUCCCGGAGUUAAACCCAGCCCUAACAAAGAGCUGUUUAUUAAAGCCAGCGACGCGCCAGCAUCUAUUUGCUUUUGCCUCCCUUCCUCUGGGAUCGGGGUAUCCCAGAGCUGCCGGCGCGGUCCGGCUCAUCCCCACCGGCAGCCCGGGACCCCCGAAACUGCUCCCAGGGAACCAGAGGACACCCAGUGCGUUCUUUGCUUGGGCUGGUGUGUUUUUCCUCCCGCUCUGGAAACGGGAAUCGUUUCGGUGUGGUUAUGAAAGAGGGGGAAGGAAUCCCUCGGGCCAGGUGGGUCAGAGCCCACCGGCUCUGCCUGCUUUCCCAGAGCUCCAAAGCCCUCAGCCCCUCUGUGCUGUCUCCCCGCUGCGCUCCCUGGAUCUCCGAGCUCCGGCUUUGCUCUUUUUCCUCGGUUUGAAGUCAAUCCCACAGGAAUCCCAUAAUAACGGUGCCCGUCUCCGGCAUGAGUCAGUCCCGAGGGAGCGAUCGGUUUGCGGGCAGGAGUCCCACCAGCGUUCCUGGCCCCGGCAGAGCUCACAAGACAGCUGUUUUCCUCUUGUUUUGUCAUGUGGCAGCGGGACAGGGCUCUGGAGCUCCAGCAGGAUGAAACAUGAGUUAUAGCAUCUCUCCCAGGGCUGACAAAGCGAUCCCAGCUCUGCCCGGAGCGCGGCGUCACCCGGGUACAUUCCAGGGAGGAAGCCUGGGCUGAGGAUUUCUUGCCCAGGUGGAAAAAACUCCUGAAUCUUCACAAAUAGGGGGAAGGGGGAAAUAUGAAAUCAGGGAUCUCAUUUGAUGCUGUGGAGCUCCUGCACAAGCCUCCUCCUGCGGGCAGCAGUUGGAUCCUGGCUGGCCCAGCAGCACUGGGACUGGAGUGGGAUCCCCAUCCCUGUCCCCAUCCCUGUUCCCACAGAGCUGCUUCAGCAGGCAGCAGCUCCUGGCCGCCAUCCGGCAGAUGCAGCAGCUGCUGAAGGGGCAGGAGACGCGUUUUUCCGAGGGGCUCCGCGCCAUGAGGAGCCGGCUCAGCUCCCUCCACUCCACCCUGGCCAAGGCAACUCCAGAGGCACCCACCGUCUCCUGUCCUGCCCUCCAAGCCCCCACGGACGGGAGGAAGUUCGGCACCAAGUAUUCGGUGGAGCACGAGGUUCACUUCACCUGCGACCCGGGUUUCCAGCUGCUGGGCUCCAGCACACGGCUGUGCCAGGCCAACGGCACCUGGAGCGGGCAGGAGCCCCGCUGUGAAGAGAUCAGCGAGUGCUCGAGCAGCCCCUGCCAGAACGGUGGGACGUGCCUGGAGGGGCUCAACCAGUUCAGGUGCCUCUGUCCCCAGCAGUGGACUGGGGCCACCUGCCAGCACCGGGCACAGACGGCUCCUCCCGCCUGGAGUGUGAGGGACGAUCCCGCCUUCAGCCGCCAGCCCCGCUGUGCCCAGGUGGCCCAGGCCCAGCAGUGCAGCUGCGAUCCCGGCUUCCACAUGAACGGGACGGCCGCCAACGGGCUCUGCCAGGACCUCAACGAGUGCGAGGUGUUCCAGCGGGACGGGGGGCCCCGGCUCUGUGCCCAUUCCUGUGUCAACCUUCCCGGCUCCUUCCGCUGCUUCUGCCCCUCCGGAUACGUCCUCCUGGGAGACGGCAAGAGCUGCGAGGACAUCGACGAGUGUUCCCUCUCCCAGGAUAACUGCACGGGCGGGAGCACCUGCAUCAACACCGGGGGGGGGUUCCAGUGCGUCACCCCCCAGUGCCCCCCGCCCGCCGGGAACGUCUCCUACGUCAAAACCUCCCCUUUCCAGUGCGAGCGCAACCCCUGCCCGAUGGAGAGCCGGUCGUGCCACCACGCUCCCAAAACCAUCUCCUUCCACUACCUGCCGCUGCCCUCCCGGCUCCCGGCUCCCACGCCGCUGUUCCGCAUGGCCACGGCGGCGGCUCCGGGCCGGCCGGGCCCCGACAGCCUCCGCUUCGGCAUCGCGGGCGGCAAGAGCCGCGGGCACUUCGUGGUGCAGCGCUCGGACCGGCACACCGGGGAGCUCAUCCUGGUGCAGAGCCUGCGGGGCCCCCAGACCAUCCAGGUGGACGUAGACAUGUCCGAGUACCUGGACCGGGUCUUCCAGGCCAAGCACGUGUCCAAAAUCACCCUCUUUGUCUCGCCCUAUGAGUUUUAGGGCGAGGGGGUGGCGGCAGCUCCCGGUCCCUGCUCGGCAUCCUGGUCCUGGGGAUAUCCCGCUCCUGCUCCCGGGGACAUCCCGCUCCUGCUCCCGGGGAUAUCCCGCUCCUGCUCCCGGGGAUAUCCCGCUCCGGAGCCAGCCAGCCUCCCCCUCUGUCCCGAGGUUCUUCCCAGGUGGAUUGACACCCGCCUGUGUGCAGGAGGAAAACCCAAAUGAGGAGGAAAAGGAGCGGGAAGUGGGGCACCGUCCUCACGCCCAGCUCCGGAGGGAUGAGGUCCUACAACCACCUGCUUUCCUCGGGAUUCCUGCUUUUUCCUUUAGGAAGGCAGUGAAGCCGAGCAUGUGGGAGGAGGGAGGCUCCUGGCCUUUCCCACUCUCCUCCCUGCUGGCCUGGGAUUGCUUGGAACCCAGCUCCACAAAAACAGGCCUCUGCUUCCCUUUUCAUCCUCAGAAUCUCCCUGGAGCCUGCUGGGGGAUUGAGGUCCAGGGCCUUAAUCCCCUGGGAUUGAUCAGGGCUGGAAAACUCCAUGAUCGUCCAUCCCACUGGCUCCCGGUGCCUUCCUUGGGAAACUGGGCAAAGGAGGAAUCCCAGUGCUAUCCCUGCUCCUUAAACCUCCCCAGUGGGAAUCCCUCAUGGAUCUCCCGGCUGCGUGUGGAGGUGGGAAUAUUCCCUGCUCCAUCAGCCAUCCCGGUGGAGGAGUGCUGGGAAGAGCUGGCAUUCGGCUCUUCCCAGGGGGAUUCACCCCCCCUGCUUGUGCAUGUUCUCCUGACAUUCUGCAUGUUCCCACAUUCCGCUGGAUUCAGUACAAUUAAAGGAUGCUAUAAAGGAUGGCACUGGAGUGGAGCACCCAGUGGAUGUGUGGAUGGUGGGAAUGCUCAUCUGGAGCCAUCCAGGAGAGCUCUGGGUCUGGUGGGGCAAGGACCUGUUAUCCACAGUUUUACUUUCCUGCCUUACAUUGCUUGGGAUGCUCAGCCGUGAGCAUCCUGCUGAGCUUCCCAGUCCUUGCCCCACGGACAAAGACUUCCCAAGAGGGAUCUGUCUUCUGAGGGGGAGAUGGAUCUUUGCAUCCUUCGGGGGAUUGAGCUCCCGGAUUUUCUGGGGGUAGAGCCUUUCCAUGGGAGUUGGGAUGGGGUCAGGUCUCUCCCGGCAGAACAAGGAGGGACAUUCAGGGCUGCUGCCGGCGGAUGGAGGAUGUUUGGCUUGGCGGGAGCUCCGGAUGGAUGUGGAGCCAGGCAGGGAAAUGCAUCCCAGGGUUGUGCUGGGGGAGGGAAGGGGAAAACUUCCUUAAAAAACCCCAAAAUCUAAAAAAAAAGAGGCUUUUCUGGGAGCAUGGCUGCUCUUCUAUUUCUCCUUUUCCUUCUCCUCCCAUUCCCUGGCAGUUCCCAGCCUGGCUGGAUGUGCUCCUACAGCAGGCCGUGACCGUAUUUUGGGAUGAUAACAAGAUCUGGGAGCCAAGAACCAGGAAUCUGGGAGAGGACGAGCUCCUGAUGGGGCAGAAUAGUUUCCAUGUGCUGCUUUCACUGGAUAGCACAGCUGGAGACGGGCGCCUGGACCGCGCUCCGGAGGCUUUUCCUUGCGGCACAAUUCCAAGCUGACAACAUUUUCCUAAUUCCCAAGGCCAGGAGUGGCUGCUCCGGCACCUUUCAGACUUCCUGAGGCUGGAAUGUGCGGAGAGAGGCUCUUCCAGCCCUCAAAUACAACUUUUCUUUGGGAUAACAAUAUUUUGGAGCCGGAAAAGAAAAGAGCUGGGAUGCUUCAGCUCCCCUUUGGGUGGGCACAGCUGGCUCCAGAUGCACUGCCCCCAAAAAUCACCAUUUCUCACCCCAAGUGGCUCAGGGGAAAAAUGCAAAGGAUGAAGGAGAGAGAGAAAUCCAGUGCCUUGGAAUUUGGGAGACUGGAAUGGGAAAGCAUUCUCUGUCCUCCUUAUUCCAUGAGGAGGGACAAGCCCCACGCUCAGGGCAGUGGGAGGUAACUAUGACAUCCCAUCCCAUUUUCUCAUCAUCCUCCACUUCCCAAAAUCCAUUCCUCAUGGACCUUUCCCAGCUGAACAUCCCAAGUCCGGAGCACCCCUGAGCUUCUCCUCCCCCUGAGCUACAGUUAAAAGAAUGAUAAUUAUUACACACACAGAGAACAUGAAGUUACUGUCAACUACAGGUUGAAAUCGGAAUAUUUAACCAAAAUUUAAGGAUUUUUCCUUUUAUUCCGAAUUUGAAAUCCCUUUUUUUUCCCUUCUCUAUAGCCUGGGGAGAUGGUGCUGAGCCCUGUGGGCACCAUGGGGUUAAUUAGUGAGCAUGAUGGGACUAAUUAGUCCUAAUGAGCCCCAAUGACGCUCCCCAGCCACCAGCACCUCCACAGAGCCCCGUGUCAGUCCCAGCGCUGCUGGAAUGCCAUUUUCCAGUUAUUUCCUUGGAUUUGCCUCAUCUCUAUGACGACUUGGACCCUUAGUCCAGCUUGGCCACACAGAGAUGGUUCUCCCCUCAUGGACCUGAGGCUUUUCCCAAUGGGAACCCGUGGGAAUACAUUUGACUCCUCCCUCUUUUUUUUUUUUUUUUUCCGUAUUUUCCCUUUGGAUUCCUGGCACUGGAAAAAUUGAGUCCGUGUCCUGAAAAGCCUCGCGAGGCAGGCAGACAAGA